UCUGUGCAGACACGCACUAGUAAUGUGUUUGUGCACAUAGGUCCAAAUGUCUACCCUGACUGAGCUUCAGAACCUCCUGAUGGGUUUUUGUCUAAAAACAGUUUCACAAAUGUCCCAAACUCCCCUCAAGGACCUCUGGAUUGGCACAAGGAAGUGAGCCUCAGACUCAGGUUGUCAACAUCCGUCUGCUUUUUUUGGCGUUUUUUUAUGGACUGACUCCAAGUAAAGCAGAUGCUGUUUGUCCCUCUGUUUGUCAGGCUGUCACAGUGAAACAGCUGAUCUGUGCUGUCCUCUCUCCACUGUUAAAAGUUGUGCAGGUUUCUGCUUUCACUAAGCGCUUUCUUUGCUGACGUCAAAUUAGUGAUCAUGUCAGUCACUCAUAACACGACUUAUGAUCGGCUUUCUGCUGGUUGUUGUGUGGGGAAAAAGGUUUUAUUUCUUAAUUGUGACAAAAAAAUCUGUGGCAGUGUCUCAGUUAGCCCUAAGCCUUUUCCGGGCACCUUAUUAGUCCAUUUAUACUGACUCUGUCCUGAAGCGUGCGAGAAAGAGCUGUCACUUGUUCAAAUGUCUGAUUUUGGUUUUCUGUAAACUUCAUGUCCUUUGGUCGACAGAGGUGUCAGUGACAGACAACCCUGCGCUGUUAUUCUGGUCUUAAUUAUAAAGCAUUCAUACUUUCCUAAAGAAACAGACCUGACAUCUCAGCCUAGCUCUUAACCAGUAUAUAUAAAGCUCCUGAGUCUUUUAGUUUCCAUGACAACGAGGACGUUUUGUUCCCUGAUUCCUCUGAUGCUGUUAGAGGCGCAUUUAUAAUGUUUACGACUGAGUGGGUAUGUGCUCUUAAAGUGAAUACUUAAACUCAUGAUGAAACAUCUCAAUUAAAAAUCUUUGCAUUUUAACACACACUCUUUUUUAAACAUUUUAUGCUUUAAAAGUAUAUUUUAAAGAAGCAUCAAUCGCCCGGUGUAAUAUUUUCUACAGCUCAACGUUUUGAUAUCACAACACAGAUAAAAGCUCUUAAUCACAUCUGAGGAGUUUUUUUCAGCAAUAAAUAAAUACCUGCUUGUUUUAGAUAUGAUAAUGAGAACUUAUCUUGACAUUAAAGGUUCUUACACACUGGGACUGUUUUUUUCAUGCAGUUAUUUCCGACGUCAAUAUUUUUUUUGAACCCAUAUCCUGUCAGUACAAGCGUUCACAUCAGCAACGUUUUCCCGUCCUGCAAUAUGUUUCGGAUCACGGUCGAUUUUUCUAAAGUUUCGCAUACUGUGUGUCCACUUCUGAUCAGAUUUCAUGUUGUUGCAACGUCAGAUUCACCGGUAUAUCCAACAUGGCCGACCGGCUGAUUGUUUACGUGUCGGAGAACAGAGUGAUUUUUGACAAAAGACACAAACAUUACAAAGAUAACGACCUGAAGGACAACUUGUGGAGAGUCAUAGCGUCGGAUUUCUCAUAUGACGAUGGUUUGUGAGCUUUAACAGUUUGCUAAACAUCUUUGUUUUAACUUUCAUCUGUGCUAAGUAACUUUAGCUCGUAAGCUAACCUGUUCAGAUACAACAUACCAUAUGUAUUUUCACCGUCUCAAACUCAAUCGCAUUGAUGUCACAGCACCAUGAGGUCUCGGUUGUUACCUUACGUUUAUGGAUUAUAGUUUAAUGUGCUUAUCUGGUACUGGCCCCGACUCAGUACAUUUGUUUUUUAGCUGAAACCUUCCGACAAGUCUUAGGAAAACUAAGGAUGCUAUAAAGCAGGGGUGGGCAAUUAAAUUUUACAUGGGGCCACAUGAGAAUCCUGAGCUGUGUUGGAGGGCCGAACCAACAAUAACCUCAACUUCAAAUCAGGGGGAUUCACACAUACAGAAAAGCAAGCCCAAAUAAGCAACUACUGGUUGCACACCUGUGACUCAAAGAAUUUUACAAGCGACUUUUGAGAGAAACAACCCUAAAGUCUUUUAUAAUAAGCAGACUUGGCAGUUAUAAGGCAUCUACGCAUAUUUUGCAGAUGUUUAAACUUGUCCUUGUCCAGAUGUUUAAACUUGGAAAUAAAACAACGGCUAGGUUUUCAAAAUAAAAGCAACACACUUGUAUCACAUGUUGAUGAUUUGAUUGACGGACCACACAAAGGGCUGGAUGUGGCCCUCGGGCCGUAAAAUGGCCCAGGUCUGCUCUAAAGGGACUAAUUUCCUUGUUGUUAAACUUUAAAUUAAACUUUAGGUAAGAAAAAUCUGAGCACAGUUCAUGUCUUGAAGAUGAUCAAUUCUCAUGCUAAUAUCCAUGGAUCACCAACAAGUAGCAUUCAGUCUAAUUCUAUAUUGUCUCUUCAGGAGCUUCAUGAGAUCUCAGUCAUUACAGGAGGUCGAAUGGUCAUUGUAGCGUUCUGAAAGCUCCAGCUGCUCGAACAAAGCCUGGAGGUCAUGCAGCUGGCUCUCGCUCGCCUUAUAAUCAGUUGUCGGUGAUUACUAUGUUGCGCAUGGCAACCAUUUAUCAAACGCGCAACUGCAUAGUGAUCAGUGUGGCAGGUCUUUGCUCAUGCAUGGGCCUCUUCCCUAUUCUUAGAUGUUAAAAUAACCAGCAGAAGUCAUGAGAAACCUGGCCAAAAACUGAAAAGUAACAGUGAAAAGCAGCUCCCUGAAUCUGCGUGUGAUAAUACAAAAGAGUAAAUCCUCAUAUGUCUCUGAUUCUACUCUCUAUUAAGCAUUAAGCUGCAUUAUUCACUGGCUAGAAUUACCAUAAAUUGUCUCUCACUCAGCCAUAAUAUGUGCAGAGAUACAUAAUGCUUAAAACAGACCAUUAACUUUAGGCACAACCUGUGAAACACCAUUUGGAAGAGUUUGUUAUGCUACUUCCCGCCAUUAUUACUCUGGUUAUGACUAACCGGUGACAGCAAUACAGCUUAAAACAAUAAUGUCAUGUCACCCAAAUUACGACCUGAGCUACCUGAAGAGGUUUGACUCACAGGGCUCUAUUUUCGUGUCUCGCCGGAGACGUGCCGCAGGCGCGGCCUAAGUCAAGUCCACCGCGCCAACAAGGCGUUCCCAAGCACAAUUUGGUAUUUUGGUGAGUGGCGCAGCCCGGUGUAAGUAUCCCCCCUCCCUAACUCAACUCCUCCCAGCGGCGUAAGUCGUUGCAAGGGAGGAGAGAGGGCGUGGAAUGGGUUUAACACAGCCGAGACCUGUUUUCACCAAUCACAUCAGCUCCUCUCCUUGCCUUUAAAUCCGCCACCGCCGAGGCGUAUUACUAUUUUCGUGAAGUAGUCAGAGAGAUCAAGAGAUGUCUGAAGACAGUAAUGCCACAUGAUGGCGACAGAAGGCAGCUCCUCAACCGGUGUCACUCUAAGCGCUGCAUUGGGCGUCCUCCACACUCUCUCAUAUGAGCACAGAUGGAUUUGGUGUGUGUAAUGUUGGGCCUCACCGGUGUACAUGAAAAUAGAGCCCACAGUCUUAAGUCUUUUGGUGUUAAAUCUAUCUCUGCAGUAAUGUCCUGCUAUCACCCGGUCUCCUUAAGCAUGUGUGUUCAACCAAAAACCUCCACUUAAACCAUUAAAACCUGUGAUGUUAUAACCACAGGAAGAGCUGAACUCUAUAAGACUUCAUGCCAGCGUUUGGUGAAAUAUCACACACAGUCAACCAUCAUCCUACCCUCUUUGAUCAUCUGCAAAAAGGUUGACAGCAACAACAACAGUGCAGAGACGAAGAGCCUCGGGCAAAUUCUUCCCUUGUAUGGAAGUUUAUAUAAUUUGGUUUGAGAUUCUUAAUCUUGGGAAACAAUGACACAUGAAAAAAUGCAUGCAACAGAUGUGCGAAACACCAAAACUUCAAAGCUUUUUCCAGAAGUUAUUUAUCCAAAUAAAGAAAUUGGUGUCCCAGUGUGCGAUAACACAUUGUAUUGUUGCAGAAACAUGAGCUUCAGCUUGUUAACACAUACAGGAUCUCAACACACAACACACUCAACGCUACACAUCGCCGUCAUUAACUACCUCCCAAGGGGCGGUCAGAGGUCAACUUUGCCGCGCUAAUAAAUUUCUGCGUGUGACACAUUGCAGACAAGGCAUAUGAGGGGUGUAAAUAUCCCGCUUUAAAAUGGCAUUAUGUAAACAACUAAUAUGUCCUUAGUGAUUUAGUUUACAGGUAGACACAGCAGGCCAGCCAACUCGGUCACAUGGAGCACAGUGACGAGUUUAAAGAUGAGGUUAUCAGGUUGAAUUGUUCAGUAUUAACCAAUCAAAGGCAGAGCAGAGCAUGUGGGAUAAGAGUAUGAAAAAAAAAAAAAAACAGCCUCCUGCACUGAUUUAAAACAGGGCACAACAUUUAAUUGUCAAGGAUGGGAUGAUUCGGUACUUAAAGGGACAUGUGUGAACCCUCUCUGUAGCCAAACUGAGCCUAACCUAACUGCUGCCUCUCCUCUGCAGCACACAUCAAUCACUACGAUUCCUUUUUUCUCUCUUGGCUUUCUACGUCUAGUUUGUGCGUCAUUUUGCGCCCUUUACCUCAUCAAGCCUGAGCCCUUUUUCAGCGCUGUACCUUUGACAGGUUUCUUCAAAUGGAUGCUAAUUUGGGCUUUUUGCUCCAGUAGAUGGGGUUCACUGAAUAACACAAUACCAAAAGCUUCCUCUGGACUUUUCAGCCCUCUGUACUAUAAAAGUCAACACCAGGUUUUCUUUCUUUCUUUCCUCCCUGAAUGUGUGACUUGAGUUUGAAACUUGUACACAGCAUCUUAACAACAUACACAACAGCGAGCACACGCGCUCUCACACUCUUACGCACUAACAUGUCCCCUGCUGAGACUUCUGACGUGGGAUUUGUCAUUCUCCUCUCCCACACUAAAGGUUCUGCCAUCACAGAACAUUUCAUUGAACUGCGUUUCUCUUUCCAUGACAACCUGCAAUUAAACCGGCGUGCUCUGAGGAGUCAAUCCACACUGUGAGCUCCAGCUUUGAUCAGACACUGACAGCUCAAAAGUAGAGCCUGUGAAAGACUUCUCCUGCUAUUGUUCAGAACAAGAAAUUGAUUUUAAAAAGGAGUAAUUCUGCAAAACAAAGACAUGGAUCGCAGCGAUAUCUGGCAAAGACGCUGCAAACUUCAGAAGAGUGAAAACAAAGUUAUUGCCCAAUUGACUGAAAUAAAAAAUGACCAGCUUCACAUGUUUGCGAUUGCUUGUUGGCUCAUCCCUCAUAAAAUGAAGAACACAUUUUCCCCAAACCCAUGCUGCAUCCCGUCUUUUCUCCAACCAACUUGCUGGCACGUCUCCACAUGCAUUUUGUUUUAAAGAGCAAGGAGGAGGGCGAGAGCUCGUAACUGUGAACUGACAAUUUUCCAUCAGCCUUUUGCUCAUCUCACCAUCUGCCACUGCGAGAAAAUAUUAGCCGCUUCCAUGUAGGAAGAUCAGCAACCCUUCUCCUCUUCAUCCCUCUUUUUUUUUUUUUUUUUUUUUUUUUUUUUGUGCCAUAAAGCCACACAGCAGACUAACUGUGAAAUCUUAACCCCACAGCGCACAAACUGUAAUGAACAGGCCGCUUAAAGCUGCCAGUCGUCUUGGCGGAGACGUGUUUGUUUGUGGUAUUAAUGUUAAUUUAUCCAAAUGAAUGAUUUCUACAUGUUAAAAUGCCAAAUGGAGGACCUUAAAUAUUUUUGAAACACCUAAUGCAAUGACAGAAUGCAGGAAGAAGUCUGUGAUUUGAGCAGCUGCACUUGCCAAUAUUUGGAUCCUUCCUCAAAUACUCUAAAAAAAAAAAAAAAAGACAGAAUUUUUAAUCACUUAAAAUGAAGUUGUAUUUAAUGUAUUUAAUAAUGAGGUUCUUGCCAGUAUCAAGUGUAUUUGACAGGACAUGCACCUGCAGUGGACCGAUCAACAAGUCAACUUGACAUGUGCACAGUAGACAUAUUUAUAUUGUACAUUUUUAUAUGCUUAUCUAUGUAAUGUGUAUCUCCGUAUCAAAUAUAAUUUGCAUUUCUAAUUUUUUAAUGUUUAAGAGUAUCACGCUGACACAUUUAUGGCUUUAGAGUUUGUUAUUUCAGCUCAGUUCUCACCUUCAGCAGCUCAGAUUGUACAUUUUCAUACAGGAUUACUGUGUCAUACUCACUUUAAGGAUGCACUUUUAUUCCCUUCGUCAGUUCCUGUCAUGCUCAUGGGCUUGCGGGUUACAAAGCUGCAUUACCAGGUAACUUUGGAUCUCUUCAGUUUGCACAGACGUCUCUCCCCUCUCUCCUUCAGUCCAUUUAGCCUCUUAGUACUCUGCUCUCUUGUUCCACGAUAAAAAGCAUGUCCUCUUCACCAUGAAGAGGAAGCACUCAUUUGAUUAGUUUAGUUGUAUUUUUGUCCCUUUUGAAGCCUGCAGACCUGAACAGCUGAUCAUUGUGCUGCAAGAAGAGGAACAUAUUGCAUCUGGAAAUGGUGUGAACAGUGUACAGAGUGUAUAGUUGCAAGGACAUUGGUGUUUAGGCUUUUAUAAAGUCAGCUAAACUACAUGGUGGCGUUGACCCUUUCUACAGCAACUGCUAGCUUAGCUUCUGCUCUGGCUCUUUGGCUGGUUUGUCAAUAUCAGGGGACAAGCAGGGAUCUCUGGCAGGUAAUACACUUACUAUUGUCAAGAAUCUUAUAAACAACAACAAAAUAGGGGUGUCUCAAUACGAUAUUGAUAUUGGAUAUCGGUCCGAUAUCAGCAAAAAAAAGGAAUAUCGGAUUGUAUCGGCCUGCAUCUAAAAUCUCCGAUAUCAGCACUCCAAUACAAGCAGUCCAUCCCAGACUCCACUCUAGCUCCUCUAUCUAGCAGCGCCCUGAUUCAGUAUGCAGAGCCCACAUGAUCACAACAACAGUGUGUACUAAGGUACUAACAAAGUGAUGGAGUGAUGUCGACCUUGUAGCAGUAUUUUAUGUUUAAGGCUAAAAAAGUUUGUGCUAAUAUUGGAUCAAUAUUGAUAUUGGCCAGUAUUGAAGUCUACAAUAUCGGUUUCAUAUCGAAAGUAAAAAAGUUGUAUCGGGACACCCAUGCUGCAAAACUAUCCUUUAAGAAAGUAAUAUUUUCAUGUAUGAAAUAUAGUAAACUUUGCUACUUUGUGUGGAUUUAAAAUCAAAUUUGUGACGCCUGAGACCACAGUAGGAAACACUAAUUUUCUUCUUUUGGGAAAAAAGUGGGAAAGGUAGUGAUGUGCUGCAGUCAACAAAAUUAACCAAAAUUAAUGGACAAUCAAACCUACAUCAGCAUGUUUGUGAUUAUCUCCUCUCACAGCUGCAAGAAAUCUAACUUCAUGACUACAGCGAAUUAUCCAUCAGCAGAAAGAGAGAGAAAGAGGACGAAUGAAAGAAGAAGAGCUUUUGUGCCAACUGCAGAGGCUGUCGUCAAAAUCAAAAUGCACCAAUUCAAUAUGAUCUAAUGUACCAGUCCAAUAAUGAUCAUCUAGAGCUGAUUCAAAAUGAACUUUUUACAGUAACCAAUGUGAGACUCUGUAUUUCACUGCUCUGUUGGGAUAAAGCAAAUAAAGUCAUAUUGGUUGGUUAUUUUGGUUUGUGAUCUAUAGCUGUAUUUCUAUCUUUAGAGUCCUCACAACUUGCAUUUGUCGGUUUCAUAGUUAUUCACGAUUACUGUUUUAAUCUUUAUCUUAUUUUAGUUGUUAACUCCCAGGCUGCAUGUAGUUGCAGGCUUGCAGCCACUCCUCAUUUUUGAUGGUUUACCUCUUUAACUAAGUGUCGCCCAUGAAGAUAAAGAAACUUUGCACCGAUUGACCGAUUGCAUAGAUUGACUUUAAUUCAGGUUAUUUGCUUGUCUGUAUAUUUAGCUCCAUUAUAAAGUAAUACAUCCCUUUUAUCCUGCCUAAUCACCUUAACAUGACAUUUUAGGAAGACUGUUUGUUAUGUCCUCCAAAUUGGCAAAAAAAAAAACAUUGGUGCCAUAUCUCUAGAAAAAAAGGAUAAGGUUGUAUUCAUACCCGCUUCAUCGACCUAUCAUGAUCAAAAUUUCCGCUGUGGCGAUUGACCUUCAGAAGAUUUAGAGAACGAUCCACCAAAGUCCUCUCUUUGUCUUCCCAAGCAUGCACAGCUGAUUGAUUCAUCCUCCAUAAGCGAGACCCUCAGGAGGUGAGAGAUCUGUGGGAGGAGAAUGGAGACAUAGCAGGGGAGGUCUUGAUUGGUCUCCCACAGUGUCCUCUCAGAGAUCAGAAGGGUUUGUGGGUUUAUCAUUCGACCACUUGGAGCUUAACUCCUACAUUGAGUGAAAGAAGAGCCAGCAUGGCGAUCCCACAGCGUGAUUGGAGCGUGAUGGCAGAAGAGAGACAGACAGAGAGGGAGAAAUGUCCUGUGGAGAGCCGCAUCGAGUGUUGGAUGAGUGGAGCACACACACCUUCAAGAGACUGCGGUCCAUCAAUAAAGCACUAGAAGGAUGAAGAAGUCGACUUUUCUCAACUGUUUGUGGGCUUGUUCUUACUUUCUUUUGGCAGCUUGUUGCAGACAAAGGGCAUAAAAAUGGAUGAACACUUUGAUACUUACAUGUGAAGGACGAAGCAAUCAGGCAAGAGACAAAGGAGCGGGAAAGGAUUAACAUUUCCUUUCAUUAAAGUUUAAAAAAGAAUCUAAUGGAGGUACAGCUACACCCUAACAGAACAUAAUCAGCCCUAACUUGGCCAUGUAAGGGAAUAUAAACACAAGGGACAAGUCCAACAGAAACACCAGGGGGGGAAGUGAGAGUGACUACAAACUAAAUGUCUAACAAACUUAGAAACACACCAAAACAAAUAACCUACCUAAAUGAAUUAUCUGCAUAAAACUGAAUCGUCUUUGAUAGAUGAGACAAAAGUCAACUCAAAAGGUUUUGUAGUUAAUCAAAAGUCCAAGUUUCCCCUUCUUCCUCUAUCCACUAAUGGUCUCUUCCACUUCCUGUGGGCGGGGCUUAAAAGGCCAUUUUGAAAUGAUUGGAGGCUGUUUGUCAGGGGAAGCUGGAACAAUCCGAAAUAUGGGUGAGUAACACUUUUAAAUGAAGCUGUAGAAAUGUAAACUAAAUCAAGAUGUUUAACAUUAAACAUUUAUAGAAAACUACAAACAUAAUGAAGUGAAAAUAAAGGUGAUUUUAUUACCAAGUGUUUAAAGAAAAGAGAAAUACUGACAUGUGGUGGCAGCAGACGAUGCAGUAACCACAGUGCAGUAAAGGCCUCAAACCCGAGUGAAUAUAUCAUUUCAUUCUGAGAAGAUUCUUUUUACAGAAAAGUGAUAUCUGAAAUGUAACUCAAAGAAACAUCUAAUCAUAUCAAAGGUUGUUUUACUCUGAAAUCCCUCCAGCCGGCCUCCCUAAAACUUUAAACUGGGCAGCACUUUGUUUGGACAGAUGAUGUUUCAUACCAUCCAAUUUUACAUUUUAGACAUUUUUCUUCUUCAAAUACAAAAGUGACAAACUCCAGAAUCCAUAUUAGGCACCAUGUUGAAAUCAUAAACUGUGUAAUCUAAUGUCUAUCUGCAGUGGUAGCCGUUUUGUUGAUUCAGACUCAACCUAGCUGUUGGUCUAGGACAGGACUGAGUUGACUGUCAGGUGGGUGUGUUGUACCUGUUUUCCAAGGGGGACAAAGUCUUUCACAUUUUAGUCUAUUUUCGCUCCAAAUACAGAUCGCGUAACGCAGAGCCGGUCCAAGCCUCGAUGGAGCCCUAAGCAAAGUUUGAUUGUGGGGCCCUCUAUUUCUGCCAAUAAUAUUGAUUGUUGAUCAUUCACACACCUUAAUCUUGGCGUUUUUUCUCUUCUUCCUCUUUCUUUUCUCUGCUCCUGAAGGAUAUGUCCUUUUUUGCGACAUUGUUUUACCCCACAACUACAUGCUCAGUGCACAUUGCGCAGCAGAAGGCAAUAAGAAUCAUAGGCCUACAUCAGCAGCAGUACUAAAAUGUUUUUACUUUAUUUAAUUUUUUACAAUAAUAUAUAUUUGAUCAUACAGAAAGCAUCACUUAUACAUGCAAAAUAAAUAAAUAAAUAAAUAAAAAUAAAUAAAUAAAUAAAAUAAAAAUAAAAUAAAAUCAAAAAGAUAUAUGUUUUUCUAUUGCUCUUGGGGGCCCCCUAUUAACCGCGGGGCCCUAAGCAGGCUCUUGGGUUGCUUACGCCUGGGCCAGCUCUGACGUAACAACAACUUGUCCGAUCUAAAAAUGACCUGUUGAAUCUGAGCAGCA